ACUCAUCUUGUGUGCAUGUAUGCAUUAUUGUAUAUUUCUUCUGAGAGCACUGUCAAAUUCAAUCACACUUGGCUAAAUAUAUUUUGUAUCACUGACGAAUGUUAUAAAAAAAUACACAUUAGUUAUCAAUGGUCUGAACUGUGGUAUCCGGCUGUCAAGCUGACGUCAAUGGGGUCACGAACCGGUUUGAUAACGAAAAAACUAAGAUUGGGUUAGUGAUAUAUGAAAAAAAUCAAUAUAAUAUCACUUCAUUGCCAUCUGAACAACGAGCGAUUUCGCUAGCGAAUUCCUCGUUAUGUGGGAAGUUCCCGUCACAAUUUUCUUUUUCCCUAUAGUUAUUGGCCAAACCUUAUAAAUCUAUCCUCAUUGGUCUCAAUACUAGUUCGGAAUUUUUGAACGUAGAACGUUAAAACGUACUUGAUCUUAUCCGUCGAUUUUAGUACUUUUUUGUUGUUGCAGUAAACUAAACCGUGGCAAUACGGAAUAAUCACCUAGUGUCAUGGUCUAAAAAUUACCUGCAAAAUUGACAAUCAGCCGCUAACGCUGUUUUGGAAGAUGUUUCUACAUAGAAAUGAAGAAAAGACAAGGAGAAGGAAUUUAAUUGCGUAAUUGGCUGCUAAUAAUCAUAAUAAUAAACAGUUGGAGGAAAUCCGUCAACGACGUUUACUGACGUUGCAAAAAAUGAUGGCAGCAAUACACAUCCGAAAUUCGAUAUUACAUUUUUUAAUAAGCAAUAACAGGCCAAAGCGUCUAUGGACAUAGAUGUUUUCCGGUAAUAUGAAUACAUAGUUAAUAAUACCAAACAAAAAAUUUAUUAGAAUUAUGUCUACAAACCU